GGACGGCGCUGAGACCAGAACCCACAGCCAAACGCCAAUGAGCACAGGACUCCGCCCACCAGCCCCACAACCCCAUGAGCCCCGGAAAGUUGGAGCGUCACGAUAGUGGGAGGAGAAGCUUUAAAACCGGCAACAAUGAAGGAGACGCAGAGGGCAGCCACGGGCAUUUGGCCACAUUCUUGUUUUUUCUGGACGAGGUGACCACAGCUCCUAGUGUGCAGUAGGACGCCUGGGCUGCAGCAUCCGAAAAGUACGUCUUGAGUGGGCGUGAAGAUUGCCUUCUGGGGAGCGAGGUUUAGAACCGAAAGCUGCAUAAGCGGCAGGUGCGCUGGGCACCCGGAACGUGGUGUGGUCAGUGAGGCCCCGGCAGCUCCUCAGGGCGAGGACUCUGGGACCGUAACGUGGAGUGUGGUCAGUGAGGCCCCGGCAGCUCCUCAGGGCGAGGACUCUGGGCCCAUAACGUGGAGUGUGGUCAGUGUGUCCCCGGCAGCUCCUCAGAG
rnacentral:lncRNA from 1 species